rnacentral:rRNA from 1 species
GUAGGUGGCAAGCGUUGUCCGGAAUUAUUGGGCGUAAAGCGCGCGCAGGCGGUUCUUUAAGUCUGAUGUGAAAGCCCACGGCUCAACCGUGGAGGGUCAUUGGAAACUGGAGAACUUGAGUACAGAAGAGGAAAGCGGAAUUCCACGUGUAGCGGUGAAAUGCGUAGAGAUGUGGAGGAACACCAGUGGCGAAGGCGGCUUUCUGGUCUGUAACUGACGCUGAGGCGCGAAAGCGUGGGGGGAGCAAACAGGAUUAGAUACCCUGGUAGUCCACGCCGUAAACGAUGAGUGCUAAGUGUUAGGGGGGUUUCCGCCCCUUAGUGCUGCAGCUAACGCAUUAAGCACUCCGCCUGGGAGUACGGCCGCAGGCUG